AUUGAACGCUGGCGGCAGGCCUAACACAUGCAAGUCGAGCGAGCGGCGGACGGGUGAGUAAUGUCUGGGAAACUGCCUGAUGCAGGGGGAUAACUACUGGAAACGGUAGCUAAUACCGCAUACCAUCAGAUGUGCCCAGAUGGGAUUAGCUGUUAGGUGGGGUAAUGGCUCACCUAGGCCACGAUCCCUAGCUGGUCUGAGGGGAUGACCGCCCACCCUGGAACUGAUCAACGGUCCAGACUCCUACGGGAGCCAGCAGUGGGGAUUAUUGGACAAUGGGCGAAAGCCUGAUGCAGCAAUGCCGCGUGUAUGAAGAAGGCUUUCGGUUUGUAAAGUACUUUCUGCGGGCAGGCGUUACCCGCAGAAAAAGCGCCGGCUAACUCCGUGCCAGCAGCCGCGGUAAUAC
rnacentral:rRNA from 1 species